AACGAACGCUGGCGGCAUGCCUAACACAUGCAAGUCGAACGAGACCUUCGGGUCUAGUGGCGCACGGGUGCGUAACGCGUGGGAACCUGCCCUUAGGUUCGGAAUAACUCCCCGAAAGGGGUGCUAAUACCGGAUAAUGUCUUCGGACCAACGAUUUAUCGCCUUUGGAUGGGCCCGCGUUGGAUUAGCUAGUUGGUAGGGUAAAAGCCUACCAAGGCGACGAUCCAUAGCUGGUCUGAGAGGAUGAUCAGCCACACUGGGACUGAGACACGGCCCAGACUCCUACGGGAGGCAGCAGUGGGGAAUAUUGGACAAUGGGCGAAAGCCUGAUCCAGCAAUGCCGCGUGAGUGAUGAAGGCCUUAGGGUUGUAAAGCUCUUUUACCCGGGAUGAUAAUGACAGUACCGGGAGAAUAAGCGCCGGCUAACUCCGUG
rnacentral:rRNA from 1 species